CUGCGCAUUCAGUGAAAGCUCAUUCUCGUCUCUCGCCCACAAGGUGGAGCUGGAUGCAUGCAAGAAAGGCCCUGUCCCCUUUGCUUGCUAAAGCAAGACGGGGAAUGAAGGCUUUCGCAGCCACAGUAAUGGAAACCGCUGCUGCAGAGUUAAAAUGCAAUUGUUGUUUAAUCCUGUGUGAAUUACAUAAAAUAUAAGCUGCUGAUACAGCACGUUAACUUCAGUAUAUUUGUCUGUCUUGAAACAGAGCCUCUUGAGACAUCAAACAUUUGGCAACUCUUCAACUGUCUAGAUAACUUGAAGACGCUUCCUGUUUAUGGCAGGGAGGAAGACAAAGGCAGCAGCUGCGUGGAGCCGCGCGCCUGGUGCCUCGGCGAAGGGUGACGUUUCGGGUGCCAUGUUUGGGGCGGCGUGUGGCCGGUGGCCUCGGCGAGCGGCGCGGCUGCCAGCACCGGGACCUGCACGCCGGGCGCAGGGCGAGGGCCGCAGCUGCGAGACAGCACCGCGAGCGCAGCAGCCAUUUUGCUUUGAUAAUCCCUGGUAAUGAGAUGGGUCUGUGGCUUGUGAAAUACAGGCUGCUCUCGGUGCCCUGGCUUCCCUUUUUCCUCCUACUAACUGCUGUGGUAUUUUUAUAUACUUAUCUUGUAUCAAAUGCUGUGUGCUAAAUUAACACGCUCUUCUCUGAUAUCAGGUUGUUUAUACGCGAAUUCUCCGAGCUCAGAAAGAUGGGGAAAUACAGUGUUGCCUAUAUCCAACCCCUUGCUCUAUGAUCACUAACGCAGUUUAAUUCACAUUAUUUAAUAUUCCUUUUAAACCUAACAAAUGACCCUUUCAUUACCUUAUUCUUUCUCAAAGCCUUUCUCCUAUGGAGAAGAGAAAGCAUCUAUGGAGAUACAUAGCUCAGGACAUAAAUUCUGCAACUUCCCACUGAAAAGGAGAGAGAUGGAAUAUUUCCUCAAAAUAAUAGUAUCUGAAAUAAAUUUGGUUCAGAUCUUGAAGUACA
rnacentral:lncRNA from 1 species